GGAUGAGUAACCUAUCGAGAAGCGAUUCGCGAUACCGUGCGAGCUAAGGAGGCCAAAGCACGGAGAAAAGUCGGAUGAUAAUUUCAGGGUCAAUAAACAAGACAUCCAGGUCCUAGAAAAAUUAACGCACCGUCUGUCGGAUAGUUUGGAGUCCACGGGCCGAGGUGGGUGGCCCACUAGCCGUGGGCGGUCGGAGCGUUACAAGAUUUUCAGUCAAUGGCUAAUGGGCCACUACCCCCGCUCUCUCGGCCCGUGGCCUUAUCCCGUCCGACGGGGGGAGGGGGGGGGGAGGGGGUGCAUUAAUUUUUUCGAAGGUUCGAAAUUAUUGUUUACUGACCCUGCAAUCACCACCUGACAUUUUUCCGUGUUUUGGCCUCACUCGAACGGUAUCGCGUAUCGCGAAUCACUUUUUGAUAGGUUACCUAUCCUUUCACUAUUCCAGCCCAAACACGUUUAACCAUAAAGUUCUAAACGGAUGUGUAACGGAAAAAGUAAAUCAACUUUGAUGACAUAGGUAACCAAAUCAAUUUUCUUAAACUUUUUUACAAAUACCAGAAAUCGGAAUGUUACAGAAACGCUAUAUCUUUCCCAGUACUAACGUUUUCCAAUUAACGAGGGGUAAGUCGAGCUAUAUAUAUGCAUAAGUUAGUUCUUCAGAUCUUGGAAAAUCGAAACUAAGCACAAAAGUCGCGUUCCUCUAAAGAAGAACAAAAUAUGUAGUAAAAAGAAGCAAAGGUUAUUUUUGAAUUUAUGGGACCAUUGAGAGCCAAUUUGUAUGCCUGCCAUAAAUUCAGUCUUGCAAUGAUAUUUUAUAUACUUAAAACAAGCAUGACCAAAUACAUAGAUUUUAUCUGGUUAAUAUUUGUAGGUUCUACCUAUGAAUCAAGAAGAAAGUUACAUACAGGGUAUGCAUGCCUUCCCAUUGUUAGAACUUGGUCGAAUGGAAGAAGAUGCUGCAGCUUCCAGAAAAGGCUAUGAGAUUAACAAAAAGGGUGCCUGGGCACAUCACUGUGUGAGUAUCUCAAACAAUUCAACAUUUUUGCAUCUAUUUUUCUCAAUUUCCAUGUAAGACUUAUCACUCAGUUGUUCUUUAUCUAUCAUACUUUUUGUUGAAGCAGUUGUGUCAUGUUCUUGAACAUGAAUGUCAGUUUAAAGAAGCAGUAGAGUUCAUGGAAGAACUCGCAGAAUCUUGGCACUCUUGCUCAUCAUUCUUGUAAAGCAUUUCCUUAAGGCUCUGUCACAUGUUACAAAGCUCUUCUCUUAUCAUCUAGAGUCGCUGAUAAACAUUAAAACAUGUAUAAAAAUUUCAGGUAUACACAUAAUUGGUGGCAUCUUGCUCUCUGUUACUUGGAAGGAGGGUCACCAAUGAGCAAAAUAGAGGAGAUUUAAGAUAAUCACAUCUGGAAAGAACUGGAGAAAGACGACGCUGUUCUUCCUGAAGUAAUCCUUUUUGGAUUGGGAACUUUUAUGCUUUUACUUCCCUCUAUCCAAUACUCAAAUGUCUGCAUCUAUAUAGGUUUAUCUCAAUGCUAUUGGUUUGUUAUUGCGCUUGGAUGUAAGAGAUGCUCUUAAAGGUUCGAUUGGAGACCGUCUUAAACUUCUUGCAGAUCGUUUGACUGAUCAGGUAAGCUAUUCACUAGUGGGAUGAUAUGUCUUCCUUUGUUCAAUUGGUUUUAUUGAUAUUUGGAAUGAUCAGUUGGUCUCUCGGCUUUAACAUCUUAGGAAAACUGGUAUAUGUCAUGGCACCUUGUCACAUUGAUAGUUUGGGGAUUAGCCAAGGUUGGAGAGUCUUCAAGAUUUGAAUUUAUGUUAGUGUACAGUGUCUAGUUGAUACCAGAUUUGUUGUGAAUCUGUGUUUGUUGUUGCAGAUUAUCGAAGAUGAACAAGAAGAAACAACAAGUGAUGCAGAAAGGGGUUCAGAUUUGUUUUCCCAUCUUUGAUCUUCUUCUCCAUCCAAACAACUCCUCAAUAUGAUUCUUGUUUUCUUUUCAUAUCAGCUCGGAGAAGCUGUCUGUGAAUACGCAAAGGGUAACUACAAAAAACAGGCUCUAGAACUACUUGGUUCAGAUUUUAACGCCUUUGGUUACAAGGUAAAAAUAACUCCAUCUAGUAACUCAAAAACUCUCUGGUUUAAACACAAUUGAUUAUAAUUUUUGUUUUAACUGUUUGAUGGUUGAUGGUAGGUCAUUGGGGCAUCAGAUGAACAGAUUGAUGUUUUCAACGAAAUGUGGUGCCAGCUGCUGCUUAAGACAGGCCAAUCCAAGAAUGGUACGGCUUGUUGUAGAGUCUUUAAAUCAGUUUCAUUAAAUAAUUAUCUUGUUUAGUAUAUAACAAUGAACGCUCUUGACUAUGACUCUAUGAUGUAUGCAAGCCAAAGAAGUGAUAAGAGAGAGGAUCAAGGUCAGAGAUGGUGUUCCUUUCAUGUGGCGUUUGCUGGAGAAGAGUUAUACCAUGGUAGGCGAUGCAGAGGCUGAGAGUGCAGGAGAGAGAGAGCUAAGAAGCUUGAAUCUUCUUAUUUCUAACUCUGCUUCUUCUUCUUCUUCUUGAUAAUAACUUAAUAAGGUGCUUACACGUUUCUAAGAUAAAAGAGGAAAAUCCUUUAGAAUAAGUGUGGUGUACAUACUUUUUUAAAAGUAAAGAAGAAACACUUUUACUUGUAGCCAGUAAACAAUAGUUUUGAGAAUAACAUUUUGACACUAUUUUCAACCGUUUUCAGUUUUGAGGCUGGAACAAGUGGUAACCUAUUGGCUGAAUUAGAAAAGAAAGAAAGAGUUUACAUCAUUAGUAUGGAAUUUAUGCUUUUGGCUGAACUGAAAUAAUUUACACAAAGCCUUGCAUAUUGCUAUUUUUUUUUUGGGAGAAAAGGCAUAACGUUGCAUAUUGCUCGUACACAAUUAAGUGUGACAGUAUCAGGAGUGCAUACUACACACAACUUUUCGAUCAUCAUAUAAUGUAAUAACGGAAAGGGUUGUCCACUAUAAACGGAUAUUUUCACGAAAAUAAUAGUUCUGGCGUCGUUUUCCAGCGACAGUGCCAGCCAAAAUACGGAAUAUUCAAAGCGAAUAUGGUUCACUCCUUUUUUCAUAAAUGGCCGUUUGUUCGAGGAUUCGAGACUUGGUCUUUGUCUCUCUUAUAAACGUAUCUUAUCAUUUUGAAUGUGUGUAUUACUUUCCCAUACUGUCUCUUAGUGACAAGUUGACCGAGUUUACUAAACCAUGGUGUAAGGAGACCACUGAAACCAAAACCAACUAGUGACAACUCAGUCGACCACAGACAGCUUCAGCACUCUCUUUCUUAUCUCGACCUUUCUUCUUCUUUAUUUGGCUUAAUUAAGUAAGUCUCUACCGUAUGUUUUAAUUCUCCCUUUUCUCUGCCUCUCUAUUCUAUAUAUAAACGUAUCAUUGCGAGUCAUAGUGAUCAGAUCAAUAUAGGAGAGACUUGUUAAUUAUUAGAGAUGUUGUCUUCUCUAGUUUCUUCAAUGCUAUUUCUUCUUCUCCUGGUGUUUUUGCUUCAUAUGGAUGACGCAUUUUGUGCUCAGACUGAGAUUCGUAAACUUAGUGAGCCUUUUCUUUUCUUUAUCUAUGGUUUAUUAUUAGUAAAAGACAUGUUAACAUUAAAAUAUUUGAUCCAGGCACAAGUGUUCACAUACUUUUUGUUCGUUAGAUUUAAUUAUAUAUUUGAGAAAAUCAUAUCUUCCUACGUCUCUUUUUACCACAUUCAGAUAUGAAGGAGUAUAUUUUCAAGAUUAAUAGAAAAAAUCAUAUCUUCUAUUGAUAAUUUAAAUCAUUUUGAUCAUUUUUAACUAUUAUAUAAUCCAUCUUUUAAAGUAUAUCUUUGAUUAUCAGAUAGUUGAUCACUUUGCUUAUAGCUAGUUAUUACAAUUGUCAAUACUUUUUUUUCCCCUAUUUUGUUUUCAUGUUUUUUUAAAAAAAUCUAUGUUUAAAAUGUUAUAUUUUACUAUGUUUUAUUUAAUAACAAAAUUUUCAAUUUUAAUAAAAAAUGUAAUAUUAUUUUAUUUUUAAGAACCCAAAAUAAGAGACUUGCAAUGAAGACAUAAAUUUUUUAAGUUUCUUAACUAAGUCUCUUAAUCAACUUUAUUCCUUAAAUACUAUUAAAAAACAACUAAGAGACCCUUAAUGAGUAUUAGGAUAAAGAUGCUCUAAGUUCUUCAGAUCUUGGAAAACCGAAUCCAAGCACAUAUAUACUAGUCCAAGGAGCAUAGACUCAUGUUCCUCUAUAGAACAUAUAACUCAUGACUUACCAAAACGAAAUCUGUAGUAAAAAGAAGCAAAGGCUAUGUUUGCAUAUAUGGGACUAUUGAGAACCCAUUUUUAUGCCUUCAUAACUUGAGUCUUGCAAUAGAAUCCGAUUUCAUAUUUUAUAUAUAUAUUAAGAAUAAGCAUGAACAAAUACAUAGAUUUUAUUAAAAGAAAAACUAUAACAUGUUAUCUUUUGAACUUAUAUUAAGAGAAAACUGUAACAUAUAUUUUCUGUUUUUUUUUUUUUUUGAUGAUUAUGGAUACUUUGGUCCACUUUCUUUGUUUUUCCGGUUAUCGUAACAAGGACAUUCUUUUUUAUUUCCAUAUGUUCCUGACGGUACGCACAAACAUUUUUUACAACAAUAGUUGCAGAAAAAUAAACAUGGUUUCUUAUGAGAUGUCGCUGAAUAUCGAAAAUCACAUGCUUUCGGACAUCCUUCACAAAAAUAUUUAGAUAAAUUUGAAAUUCUUAAAAAAGAUCUCGUUUUAUAAAAUUUGUUAAUAGUAUAAAAACUAGAGUAAAUAUAAUUUUAAACAAUUUUACCUUCUAUAGAGUGAACCCUCUCCUACCAUCUGAAAUAUUUUGGGUACACCCAUUAGUUUGUUAAUGACACAAAUUGAGCAUAGUAUAAUUUACACAGACAUAAAAUACAGAUCCAUUCUUAUAUUAUUAUAUACAUUGAUUUUAUCAUUUAUAAAGAUAUACAGUAUGGGCUAGGCAUGGGCGUUCGGGUCUUCGGGUCGGGUUCGGACCGGUUCUUUUCGGAUGCAGAUCUUUUCGGGUCAUAAAUAUUUAGACUCAAUAGGUACUUAAAAAUUUUCGGUUCGGGUUCGGAUCGGUUCUUCUCGGGUCCGGGUCGGUUCGGGUCUAUAUUUAAAAUACCCAUAAAAUAUCCGUAGUUUCUUGGGUCCAUAUCGGGUAUGGAUCGGGUUCGGGUAUUUAGAAUCUGAAAAAAACAUGAUAUACCAAAUUUCAUCAACUUUAGUUGAAUAUUUGUCAUAUAUAUCUAAAAUUUUAUAAAACAACUUAAAUGAAACUAUUAAUAAUUAAAAUAAAACAUUUUAAAACUCUAAAUUUUACAUUUUAAAGCUUUAUAUUACUUAAAAAAUGUUAAAAAAUAAUAGCAAAUGUUGUUCACAAAAGAUAUUUAAACUAAAUCAUAAAAUAAUAUA